AUUGACAUGACUGCAAAUUAAGUCAGAGUUUACAUUUUUUGUGGCAAAGGGAUCAAUGAAUAUGAAGUUUGCUUUGACCAAGCUGUAGACCCAAAGUCUAUUCCCUUCCAGCUGCUAAACCAGAACACGAGACAAAGUAGGCAUUGGAAAUUGCAAAGACAUUUUAUGGUAACAUUGUUUCAGUAUACUGAUCCUGCAGCUGAAGCGUGUGUUGUGAAUAGCAUUUCAUUUUUACAACGUCCUUGUCAGGAAAAUAACUGGAAUCUUGGGAAUGGUGCAACUAAAUAGAUGGUAUCGUGAUGUACUCCAAUGAGCAUAAUUAUUCCUUCAGUGGCCAUAAGAGUAGAUGUGUCCUGCCCACACAGAAGCCAGAGCACCAAGUCUCAUGUCAUGAAAAAAAAAGCUCAUGUUCUGUCGGUUCUGAAUUGAUUAAACUUCCCAUUUAAAAUUUAUAAUAAAACACAUUUUUUGGAGGGUAAAAUGGCACUCGUUGAUGGGUUUCACUAAGCUGUACUCUUGCGUUUCAAAUAUUUUGGUGCUCAAUUAAGUCAAGACGAUCUUGGCCCUCACACUUUUGUGUAGCGUCACAAUUGUAUUGUUUUGAAAUUAAAAAUUCUCGCUGGUCACGUACGUGUUUAUUUGAAUACAAUAAAAAAGAUUUGUCCAAUA